rnacentral:rRNA from 1 species
UACGUAGGUGGCAAGCGUUAUCCGGAAUUACUGGGCGUAAAGCGCACGCAGGCGGUCUUUUAAGUUUGACGUGAAAGCUCCCGGCUUAACUGGGAGAGGUCGUUGAAUACUGGAAGACUUGAGGCAAUGAGGGGGGUGUAGAAUUCCCGGUGUAGUGGUGGAAUGCGUAGAUAUCGGGGGGAAUACCAGUGGCGAAAGCGGCACCCUAGCGUUAGCCUGACGCUCAUGUGCGAAAGCGUGGGGAGCGAACGGG